rnacentral:rRNA from 1 species
UACGAAGGGUGCAAGCGUUACUCGGAAUUACUGGGCGUAAAGCGUGCGUAGGUGGUGAGUUAAGUCUGAUGUGAAAUCCCCGGGCUCAACCUGGGAAUGGCAUUGGAUACUGGCUCGCUAGAGUGCGGUAGAGGGUGGUGGAAUUCCCGGUGUAGCAGUGAAAUGCGUAGAGAUCGGGAGGAACAUCUGUGGCGAAGGCGGCCACCUGGACCAACACUGACACUGAGGCACGAAAGCGUGGGGAGCGAACAGG